CGGCGAGUGAAGCGGCAACAGCUCAAAUUUGAAAUCUGGCUCUUUCAGGGUCCGAGUUGUAAUUUGUAGAGGAUGUUUCGGGUGUGGCUCCGGUCUAAGUUCCUUGGAACAGGACGUCAUAGAGGGUGAGAAUCCCGUAUGUGACUGGUAGCCUAUGCUCAUGUGAAACUCCUUCGACGAGUCGAGUUGUUUGGGAAUGCAGCUCAAAAUGGGUGGUAAAUUUCAUCUAAAGCUAAAUAUUGGCCAGAGACCGAUAGCGCACAAGUAGAGUGAUCGAAAGAUGAAAAGCACUUUGGAAAGAGAGUUAAACAGUACGUGAAAUUGUUGAAAGGGAAGCGCUUGCAACCAGACUUGCAUGUAGCUGAUCAACCGGUGUUCUCACCGGUGCACUCAGUUACGUUCAGGCCAGCAUCGGUUUCGACGGUUGGAUAAAGGCCUUGGGAAUGUAGCUUCUUUCGGGGAGUGUUAUAGCCCAGGGUGCAAUGCAGCCUGUCGGGACCGAGGACCGCGCUUCGGCUAGGAUGCUGGCGUAAUGGUUGUAAGCGACCCGUCUUGAAACACGGACCAAGGAGUCUAACAUCUAUGCGAGUGUUUGGGUGUCAAACCCAUACGCGUAAUGAAAGUGAACGGAGGUGAGAACCCUUAAGGGUGCAUCAUCGACCGAUCCUGAUGUCUUCGGAUGGAUUUGAGUAAGAGCAUAGCUGUUGGGACCCGAAAGAUGGUGAACUAUGCCUGAAUAGGGUGAAGCCAGAGGAAACUCUGGUGGAGGCUCGCAGCGGUUCUGACGUGCAAAUCGAUCGUCAAAUUUGGGUAUAG
rnacentral:rRNA from 1 species